AUAAUUGCAAUAUUCAAUGUAUCAAUGUUGCAAUGUUUCGCAACUCUGCAUAUACAAACAGUAUAAAUACCGCAGUAGAACAGCAUCCAAACAUU